rnacentral:rRNA from 1 species
UCGGGUUCCGGGGGGAGUAUGGUCGCAAGGCCGAAACUUAAAGGAAUUGACGGAAGGGCACCACCAGGAGUGGAAUCUGCGGCUUAAUUUGACCCAACGCGGGAAAACUCACCAGGUCAGGACACGGUAAGGAUUGACGGACUGAAGGCUCUUUCUCGAUUCCGUGGAAAGUGGUGCAUGGCCGUUUUUGGUUGGUGGAUCGAUCCGUCUGGUUAAUUCCGUUAACGAACGAGACCUCGGCACUCCGAAUAGCGCGGCGGACGUCGCGGCCUCCGGGCCGUCUUCCGCACGAGCUUUCUUUAGAGGGGACCGGUCCCCCGCCCGGGGAAGGAGGUGCGAGGCAACGACAGGUCUGUGAUGCCCUUAGAUGUUCUGGGCCGCACGCGCAUUACACUGACGCGUCCAACGGGUGACUCCCGACCCGAAGGGGCCGGGGAAUCCGCAAGGCGCGUCGUGAUGGGGAUUGAACGUUGCAAUUGUUGUUCACGAACGAGG